rnacentral:rRNA from 1 species
AGCGAACGCUGGCGGCAGGCCUAACACAUGCAAGUCGAACGAACUCUUCGGAGUUAGUGGCGGACGGGUGAGUAACACGUGGGAACGUGCCUUUAGGUUCGGAAUAACUCAGUGAAACUUGUGCUAAUACCGAAUGUGCCCUUCGGGUGAAAGAUUUAUCGCCUUUAGAGCGGCCCGCGUCUUAUUAGCUAGUUGGUGAGGUAAAGGCUCACCAAGGCGACGAUCAGUAGCUGGUCUGAGAGGAUGAUCAGCCACAUUGGGACUGAGACACGGCCCAAAAUCCUACGGGAGGCAGCAGUGGGGAAUCUUGCGAAAUGGGCGAAAGCCUGACGCAGCCAUGCCGCGUGAAUGAUGAAGGUCUUAGGAUUGUAAAAUUCUUUCACCGGGGACGAUAAUGACGGUACCCGGAGAAGAAGCCCCGGCUAACUUCGUG